UACGGGGGGGGCAAGCGUUGUUCGGAAUUACUGGGCGUAAAGGGUUCGUAGGUGGCUUGUUAAGUCAGACGUGAAAUCCCUCGGCUCAACCGGGGAACUGCGUCUGAGACUGAUGAGCUCGAGUGCAGGAGAGGAACGCGGAAUUCCAGGUGUAGCGGUGAAAUGCGCAGAUAUCAGGAAGAACACCCGUGGCUAAGGCGGCUCUCUAGUACGGUACUGACGCUGAGACGCGAAAGCGUGGGGAGCGAACAGG
rnacentral:rRNA from 1 species